UUGGGCGUAAGGGCUCGUAGGUGGUUGAUCGCGUCGGAAGUGUAAUCUUGGGGCUUAACCCUGAGCGUGCUUUCGAUACGGGUUGACUCGAGGAAGGUAGGGGAGAAUGGAAUUCCUGGUGGAGCGGUGGAAUGCGCAGAUAUCAGGAGGAACACCAGUGGCGAAGGCGGUUCUCUGGGCCUUUCCUGACGCUGAGGAGCGAAAGCGUGGGGAGCGAACAGGCUUAGAUACCCUGGUAGUCCACGCUGUAAACGGUGGGUACUAGGUGUGGGGUCCAUUCCACGGGUUCCGUGCCGUAGCUAACGCUUUAAGUACCCCGCCUGGGGAGUACGGCCGCAAGGCUAAAACUCAAAGGAAUUGACGGGGCCCCGCACAAGCGGCGGAGCAUGCGGAUUAAUUCGAUGCAACGCGUAGAACCUUACCUGGGUUUGACAUGGAUCGGGAGUGCUCAGAGAUGGGUGUGCCUCUUUUGGGGUCGGUUCACAGGUGGUGCAUGGCUGUCGUCAGCUCGUGUCGUGAGAUGUUGGGUUAAGUCCCGCAACGAGCGCAACCCUUGUUCACUGUUGCCAGCACGUUAUGGUGGGGACUCAGUGGAGACCGCCGGGGUCAACUCGGAGGAAGGUGGGGAUGACGUCAAGUCAUCAUGCCCCUUAUGUCCAGGGCUUCACGCAUGCUACAAUGGCUGGUACA
rnacentral:rRNA from 1 species